AUUCUUCAGGGCGGGGUGAAAGUCCCCACCGGCGGUAGAGCCCGCGAGCCGUAAAGGCUGAUCCGGUGAGAUCCCGGAGCCGACAGUACAGUCUGGAUGAGAGAAGAA
rnacentral:ncRNA from 1 species